rnacentral:rRNA from 1 species
ACGCAGGGAAGUGAAACAUCUCAGUACCUGCAGGAAGGGAUACUCCGUGAGUAGUGGCGAGCGAAAGCGGAUCAGACCAAACCGGUUGCGCGUGAUACCCGUCGGGGGUUGCGUUGCCGGUGUUGUGGGAUCACGUGUCCCGGUUCCGACGGACCGGGCGGGAGUCAUAAAACGGCUUGCCAGGGGAACAGGCUUGAAGGCCUGGCCGUAGAGGGUGCCAGCCCCGUACCUGGACGUGAGCCGUCUUCCGAUCGUGUUGUCCCAAGUAGCGCGGGCCUCGUGGAAUCCCGCGUGAAUCAGCCCAGACCGUUGGGUAAGUCUAAGCAUACCUGUCUGACCGAUAGCGUACCAGUACCGUGAGGGAAAGGUGAAAAGCACCCCGGGAGGGGAGUGAAACAGUUCCUGAAACCGUGCGCCCACAAACCGUCGGAGCCUCCGCGUGGGGUGACGGCGUGCCUAUCGAAAAAUGAGUCUGCGAGUCAGUGGCGGGUGGCGAGCAUAAGCCGUGUGGCGUAUGCGUAGCGAAAGCGAGUCUUAAAAGGCGUUUGUAGUCGCUUGUCCUGGACCCGAAGCGGGAUGAUCUAGCCCUGGGCAGGUUGAAGCGCGGGUAAGACCGCGUGGAGGACCGAACCCACCUGGGUUGAAAACCGGGGGGAUGACCUGGGGCUAGGGGUGAAAGGCCAAUCAAAUUCCGUGAUAGCUGGUUCUCUCCGAAAUGCAUUUAGGUGCAGCGUCGGUCGAUUGCGUCGCGGGGGUAGAGCUACCGGAUGCUUGCGGGCCCUUGUUGGGUACCAACAGCAGCCGAACUCCGAAUACCGUUGACGUGUAUUCCGGCAGUGAGUCGGCGGGGGAUAAGCUCCGUCGUCGAGAGGGAGACAGCCCAGACCGUCGUCUAAGGUCCCGAAGCGUGUGCUAAGUGGGAAAGGAUGUGGAGUCGCAUAGACAGCCAGGAGGUUGGCUCAGAAGCAGCCAUCCUUGAAAGAGUGCGUAACAGCUCACUGGUCUAGUGGUUCCGCGCCGACAAUGUAGCGGGGCUCAAGCACACCACCGAAGACGCGGCAGCGCAUCUGAUGCGCUGGGUAGGAGAGCGUCCUGCGAGGGGCGAAGCGGCCGGGUAACCGUGCCGUGGACUUCGUGGGAGUGAGAAUGCAGACAUGAGUAGCGAGAGACGGGUGAGGAUCCCGUCCGCUGGAUGACCAAGGGUUCCGGGGCCACGUUCGUCGUCCCCGGGUGAGUCGGGUCCUAAGGCGAGGCCGACAGGCGUAGUCGAAUGGAUGAACGGGUGGAUAUUCCCGUACCGACCAUGGACCGGCAAAACCGAGACGGUGAGUACUAACCUCCGCCUCGUGGUGGUUCCUUCCUUCGGGUUGGUUCCGUCGCGUGGUGUUGGGAGCGUAGCCGCAGUAGGUCAGCGCAGGGGUGACACGGAAUGGGAGCCGGCCGCGGAGGUGGUUUUCCGUGGUCAAGCACGCAGCCAGUCAUGUAGGCAAAUCCGCAUGGCAUGCAUGGCGAGGUGUGAUGAUGGGAACCGUUAUGGUUCGAUAUCCGGUUGUCCAGGCCGUCGAGAAAAGCCUCGGCGUGAGGGCCAUGGCCGCCCGUACCCCAAACCGACACUGGUGGUCAGGUAGAGAAUACCAAGGCGAUCGAGCGAAUCCUGGUCAAGGAACUCGGCAAAUCACUCCCGUGCCUUCGGUAUAAGGGAGACCCGCUGGGUUGAAGGACCUUGCGUCCGGAGCUUUGGUGGGUGGCACAGACCAGGGGGUAGCGACUGUUUACCAAAAACACAGGUGCAUGCGAAGGCGAAAGCCGCUGUAUAUGCACUGACGCCUGCCCGGUGCCGGAAGGUUAAGAGGAUCCGUCAAUCCCUUCGGGGACGAAGCGGUGAAUUCAAGCCCCGGUAAACGGCGGUGGUAACUAUAACCAUCCUAAGGUAGCGAAAUUCCUUGUCGGGUAAGUUCCGACCUGCACGAAUGGCGUAACGACUUCCCCACUGUCUCGACCAGGAGCUCGGCGAAAUUGCAGUACGAGUAAAGAUGCUCGUUAAGCGCAGAAGGACGAAAAGACCCCGGGACCUUUACUAUACCUUGGUAUUGGCGUUAGGCGCGGAUUGUGUAGCAUAGGCGGGAGGCUUUGAAAC